UACAGAGGGUGCGAGCGUUAAUCGGGAUUACUGGGCGUAAAGCGCACGUAGGUGGCGACGUAAGUCGGGUGUGAAAGCCCCGGGCUCAACCUGGGAAUUGCAUUCGAGACUGCAUUGCUGGAGUACGGAAGAGGAAGGCGGAAUUCCCGGUGUAGCGGUGAAAUGCGUAGAUAUCGGGAGGAACAUCAGUGGCGAAGGCGGCCUUCUGGUCCAGUACUGACACUCAAGUGCGAAAGCGUGGGGAGCAAACAGG
rnacentral:rRNA from 1 species